rfam:Xenopus tropicalis methionine adenosyltransferase II, alpha, mRNA (cDNA clone MGC:79598 IMAGE:6979233), complete cds.
GCUAGGCUUGGGCGUAAGUACAGAGUAGCCUUUGCCUU